UUGACGGGGCCCGCACAAGCGGUGGAGCAUGUGGUUUAAUUCGAAGCAACGCGAAGAACCUUACCAGGUCUUGACAUCCCCUGACAACCCGAGAGAUCGGGCGUUCCCCUUCGGGGGGACAGGGUGACAGGUGGUGCAUGGUUGUCGUCAGCUCGUGUCGUGAGAUGUUGGGUUAAGUCCCGCAACGAGCGCAACCCUCGACCUUAGUUGCCAGCAUUCAGUUGGGCACUCUAAGGUGACUGCCGGCUAAAAGUCGGAGGAAGUGGGGAUGACGUCAAAUCAUCAUGCCCCUUAUGACCUGGGCUACACACGUGCUACAAUGGUUGGUACAACGAGUUGCGAGUCGGUGACGGCGAGCUAAUCUCUUAAAGCCAAUCUCAGUUCGGAUUGUAGGCUGCAACUCGCCUACAUGAAGUCGGAAUCGCUAGUAAUCGCGGAUCAGCACGCCGCGGUGAAUACGUUCCCGGGCCUU
rnacentral:rRNA from 1 species